UAUAUAAUGUAAUCUGAAAUCACAUUAUUUUUCGGGAUUUCAGAUUACAUUCUAUAGG
rnacentral:pre_miRNA from 1 species